rnacentral:rRNA from 1 species
GACGAACGCUGGCGGCGUGCUUAACACAUGCAAGUCGAACGGAAAGGCCCUGCUUUUGUGGGGUGCUCGAUUGGCGACCGGGUGAGUAACACGUGAGUAUCCUGCCCUUGACUUUGUGAUAACUUCAGGAAACUGGGGCUAUUACCGGAUAGGAUCUCCUGCUCCAUGGUGGGGAUUGGAAAAUUUCGGCGGUUGUGGAUGGACUCGCUGCUUAUCAGCUUGUUGGGGGGGUAGUUGCUUACCAAGGCUUUGACGGGUAGCCGGCCUGAGAGGGUGAACGGGGACAUUGGGACUGCGAGAGGGAGCAGAAUCGAACGGGACGCAGUAGGGGAGAGUAUUGCACAAUGGCGGCACGCGAGAUGCAGAAACGGUGCGUGCGGGAUGAUGGCCUACGAGUUGUAAACAGAUUUCGAAGGUGCCGAAGAGUGAGUGACGGUAAUGGGUAAAGAAGCACCGGCUAACUACGUG